AUUCUCUGUUUGAUCCAGGUUCUCCUUGAUACAAUUAUAUUUCACUUGAUGUGAACAACACAUUUUACCUAGAUAAAAGAUUUCCAAUUAACCAAAAUGCCUGAUGAAUAUUCUGGGUAACAUGUCAGAAGAUGCUGUCUUAAAAAAUCUGUAAAUUUCUGUUAUCAAUGGAAAUAUGUUUUUGCUAGUUUGUGUGUGUGGUGCAAUCAUCACUUAUUGAUCAUCUAAUCCUUCCAAAUCUAGUUAUACAUAGUGGAUAAGCACAGCUGUGUUUUACAUUGUCUGAAUCCAUGCUGCAGCGCUGUCUUAACCUGAAUGGUGGUUACAUCUCUCAAGCAGGGAAAAGGAAUUGGUACCCCAUCUCUGAAGGGAAGAGGAGUGGGAUGAGAAUUCUCCACUUGACCAUCACUCUUCUCUUCUCUACUUUCCCAAUGUAAAGCAUCAUUCUCUAUGGGUGAGGAACAGUGGCCUUUAUUUUCCUUUCAUGUCUUUGGGGGACCAGCUGUCCAGCCCCCAGCUGUCACCUGAUCUCUUCAGUGGGCCAUCUUUUCCAAGCCACAGAAAAAGCGUCUUUCCACAACAGCAAAACUUCAAAUUUGGGAUAAACUCUCUUGCCACUGCAGACUUGUGUGGGCUCCAAAGUAAAAUCAACCUACCAUCAUCUCCCCAUGGUGUAUGGAGCUACCCUACAGCCAACAGCAAACUCUACACAAGGGAGUGGAAUUGACACAUGGAAUUUCCCUAAGGAGAACCUUUGUAAAAUACUACACUGUGUGUAUGUGUGUGUGUCUUCUUUACACCAUUCAUUUUUUAAAUAAAGAGGACAAAUUAUAUAACCCUGGGAGAAAAGAUUGAACAGAGGUAUGUGGAAGCAGACAGUGCCAAAUACACUGAAGCCCUAUCCCAGGCAGAGAUAGCUACUUCUGGUAAAUACCAGUGGGUUCUCUCUCUUCCUUUACUGGUGUGAAACACUUUGGCAAUGCUUAACUUAUGAUUGUAUUAAAAUUUAACUUUUACACUGGUUUUUAUAUGGCUGUUAUGUAGUUCUGUACCAUGGUUAUAACCCUGCUUGGUGUCUCCGCAGGCAAGAACAAAUCUUGUGAUGACAUUGUUGUGGCAUUAUUGUGUUGUAAUGUGAGGCCCUGAUAUGGUCACUUUGGCUGCUUAGUCUCUAGAUGUUAAGAUGAUGGACCCUGUAGAAAAACUUCAGAUAACCUGAUGACUGAUGGUUUGGAAUAGUGUUAGGUGUGGACACAAUAUUCAAAGUACUGUGCUGGAACUGUUCAGAAUGAGUUCCAAACCAGUCCCAAUGUAUACAGUGGAUUUACCCUGUUUAUAGGGAACAAAUUUGUGUAGGGCGGGAAUAGAUGAUCAUGGUAUGUUCCAUUUAUCACUCUUGCUGGGGUUUGAGGAAACUGAAGCACAUCAUUACUCUUCACUGUGGCUUUUUGCCUUUCAUCACGACACACUCACCAUCUUGACUUGACCUGCAUGUUUAUUUAACUGUUGAAUUAAAGCAUCCAUGAUCAACAGAAAGUAGCCAUGCUACAUGUGCUAAAUUGGACCAUCUUUCUUGCCGCUUAUUUUCUUGGCUGGAAGUCUACAUCAUUUUGUAUAUAUCACACUCCUCAGGAUUUAUGUUGGCUUUGACAAAGAUUGCUUUUGGCAACUAACUGGAUAAGAAAAUGCUGUUGAUACAGAAAACCUGAAAUCUGUUAAAUGUCUCUGUGCUAUCUUAGUAACUGAUACACUGGUUGCUAUCAGCAUAAAUGCACUCCUUCGCAAUACAUUUCCAAAGCAAAGUCGGAUGUGUGCUUUUUCUUUUUUUUUUUCUUUUUUUUUUUUUGGGAGGGAGGCAGGGGGAUUGUUCAGUGCUACUUUGUAGGCAAGACUUACUGCUCUUGUCAGUGGUCCAAUGUUAAGUCCUUACUUUAAGUACCCGGAGAGGUUGUGUGCCCAUGUGUGUAUGCCAAAACACACCCUCUAAAACCAGUCAUUCAGUGUUGGGAAUAAGGGGUGGGAGAUGUAGGGGGAAAUAUUUUUAAAGGGUCUGAAAUGGUAUAUAACCUUGUUUUACACUAGCAUCCCAAAAAGGGAAGGAAGGCAGAGUAUAUAAGAACACAAUGGUACAAUAUCAGUUAUACUAAUUGAUAGUGCUGUAAAAUUUUAAAGUUCAAUACUUGCAUUUUUACUACCUGUCUUUCUCUUAGACAGGUUUAUAUACCGUAAACACUUUUUUCAAUCUUAAUAGACUUCUAAUAUACAAAUCAAUAAAUCUUAUUGUAAAAGAGCAGUGUCUAAUUUAUCAUGCAUCGUUGUGCAUUUGAGGCAUUAAUGGACCACUAAAACGCAAACCUUCAUGUCUUAAUGUUACAUUGAUCUACCAAAUUAAAAUGAA